UUAAGACUUAUUUGUUUAUGAUUUCGCACAUAUGUUUAAGGUUAGAGCAACCUGGGAUUUUUAUUAUGCAGUUGAUGUAACCCCAUAAAGGGAGAUUUAUUUAUUAUUUCUAUCUAUUGCAUGGUUUGCAUUUAUUUAUGGGUAGAUAGAUAGAUGAUAUUUGUACAGUGAACACCAAAUCCUGUGGAAAUGGAAGUACCGGAUUUGGGGGUGUCACAGGUUGGUAUCAGAGCUGUAGGUUAUGAACCUUAGGUGGGGGGAAACAACCUUAGGUAGUAGCCUUGUAGAAGAUUGAGAAUAUAGUAGUGGUAAACUCUUAUCGAGUUAUAAGAAAUGGAUUUCUUAAUUCAUUAAAGAUAAUAAAAGACUUUAUGUGCUUAUGUGUUAAUCUAUGUGUUCGCUAGCACGGAUUAGUAACUAAAACUAAAAAUUUUAUUGUCAGGAUGUCGGAUGUUGGAGGAGCUAGUCGAGCUGGGGAGGAGGAACCCGAGUACCUACAGAGGAAGAGCCCCGAGACAUUCAUGUCGUCAGGGAACAACUGGUACAGAGAGAGCCAUCUCCGUUGAUCACUGUUGUUGGUCGGGAGCAUGAGCCUGAGACUGAUCCAAAGGAGGAUUCUGAGGAAGAAGAGGAGUUCCCACCGAACUCUAUUGAUGCUGAGAUAU
rnacentral:lncRNA from 1 species